UCGAUACUCACCUCUCAGCUCUCUCUCCCUCUCUCGACACUUAGCUCUCUCUCUCUCUCUCUCUCUCUCUCUCGAUCUGGCCUGUCCCGACUCGAUCUGCCACCGUUUGAGAUUUCUCUCUCUCGAUCUGCCACCGGUCGCGAUUUCUCUCCCCGUUCGGAUCCAUUUUGGUUCCGCCUUCCACAGUUCCAGGCUCCAGCCACCGAGCCGCCUCUCCUUUCAGUCUGCCUGAGCCACCUCCUCUGCCACCGAGUCACCUUCACUGCAAGUCUAUAUCUCUGCGACUCCUUCAAGGCUUCAAUCCCUGAAUCUUAGACAAAAAGAAAAAGAGGAAGAGGAGGAGGGAGAAGAAGAAGAAGAGUUAGACGGGAACAACUUGAUGCUCGAUUCGAACAGAAACGAUCCCAGGGGUAUUGUUCCUGCUGCAGUUUGGGGUUUUGAGUGAUUGUGGUCUUAUUUUCCGCGAAAGCAAGAGAAGUUGUGUGCAAAAGGCAAUUUCAACCUUAUUCAUCACAAUCAAUCUCAGCGAAAG